GUUAGAGAAGAAGGAACAUGAUCAAGUAGAUAAAGUUUAAUUUUCUGCUUCUGUGUUAUGUGGGAGAGGGUUAAUUUAGCUGCUUCCUUCCAGUAGAGGAUUUGGGACUGCAGUCUUCAGCCACCCAUAGAUAUUCAUGUUGCUGAGCUCACACCUCAUGUUUCUCUUCAGUGUUUCCCAUCAGCUCUUUUGGGGUGCUCUCUGCUCAGCUGCUCACCCAUUACUCUGUUUUUUAACAGUUGUUUUCUUGAGGACCCAACUUCCCCCUUGCACCUUGCAGCCAAUGUGCUUGCUGUGCUCAGGACAGCUGCUAGGCAUGUGACACUCACAACAUGUGUGCACCAGCAGUCAGCAUCACAAAGGAGUGAAUCCACAUGGAACUACUGUCCUACAGUUCCACAAAGAGUGUUAAAACAUGAAAAAGAGUCAGAAGGAAGGUCCAGCACUCAAAACUGCAUCCUAUAGGAAGAGCCUACAGCUCGUGAAGAUCCUGAGUUUCAUUCAAGCCUUUAUGCAGUCUACUAACGAAUUGUCUUUAGCAAUAGGGAGGCAGAGCUGGAUUAGCUGCCUGGAAAUGUUGUAAUUUUCCAGUGUAUAAUAGAAGCAGAUUGCUGGGGACAGUGACAGAAGCUUCCUUGACCUCUCACUGACUCAGGUAUAGAUUACUGAGCAAAAAAUAGUGAUUAAUCAGAGGAAAACUGAAGCUCAUUUUCUCCUUGCAUCCAAAAAAGCAGAGAUCUAAUUAGAGAUCACGGUUAGAACUGAAGCAUAAUUUUGAUACUUCUAUGUAAUGUACUUCAUCAAUUAAAAGUUUCACUGUACUAAUUGAUGCAUUA